GCGAUAUGUACACAUUCAAUGUGUUAAUCAUUUAAGCAUAUUAAACAUUAAAUUACUUUCAAAUCCGUUUUUUUUUCUUUUUCAAAAGAAAUAGCAGUUUUUAUUAAAUUGUAAUCCACCUUUAUCCUACUAAGGCUGCACCUGGAUCUAUUUUUUUUAAUUUUAUUUAAUUAAAAUAACCUUUUUGGAAAGGUAUUUAUACAACGGUAUACAUACUUUUAGAAGGUAAGAUAUAUCGUGGAGUAUCGUUUAUUAGGCAGAUUCCUCUGAGAGUAUAGAAUGCCGCCAAGUUCUUUAGGUUUCAAGAUAAUAGCUAUUAGUAA
rnacentral:rRNA from 1 species